rnacentral:rRNA from 1 species
GACAGAGGGUGCAAGCGUUGUUCGGAGUUACUGGGCGUAAAGGGUGUGUAGGCGGUUCUUUAAGUUUGGUGUGAAAUCUCCCGGCUCAACCGGGAGGGUGCGCCGAAUACUGAGGGACUAGAGUGCGGGAGAGGAAAGUGGAAUUCCUGGUGUAGCGGUGAAAUGCUUAGAUAUCAGGAGGAACACCGGUGGUGUAGACGGCUUUCUGGACCGUAACUGACGCUGAGACACGAAAGCGUGGGUAGCAAACAGG